UUCUGUAAGUUAAUGUUAGACUGUUAAUUUGUGGUGUUAUUAGUUCCAGGUUUUGGGCAGAG
rnacentral:tRNA from 1 species